AGGGCCGCGGUAUUUUGACCGUGCGAAGGUAGCAUAAUCAUUUGUCCUUUAAUUGGGGGCUGGAAUGAAGGGUUGGAUGAGAAAUUAAUUGUCUCUUUUUUAUUAAUUAAAAUUUUACUUUUAAGUGAAAAGGCUUAAAUAUAGUUAAGUGAAGAUAAGACCCUAUAAAACUUUAUAAAUUCUAUUUAAGUUUUGUUUAAUUAGUAAAGACAUCUUUCAUUGAAUAUAUUUUGUUGGGGCGACAAUAAUAAAUAGAAUACCUGUUAUUUUUAAUGAGUUAUAUAUUAAUAUGAGUGAGCCUAUAUUAAGGAUUAUAAGAGCAAGUUACUUUAGGGAUAACAGCGUGAUUUUUCUUAAGAGAUCAAAUCGACAGAAGUAGUUACGACCUCGAUGUUGAAUUAAAAUUUUCUUUUAAAUGUAGCAGUUUAAGUGAGUAAGUCUGUUCGACUUUUAAAAUUUUACAUGAUUUGAGUUCAAACCGGUGUGAGCCAGG
rnacentral:rRNA from 1 species